AUUGAACGCUGGCGGCAGGCCUAACACAUGCAAGUCGAGCGGAUGAAGGGAGCUUGCUCCUGGAUUCAGCGGCGGACGGGUGAGUAAUGCCUAAGAAUCUGCCUGGUAGUGGGGGAUAACGUCCGGAAACGGGCGCUAAUACCGCAUACGUCCUGAGGGAGAAAGUGGGGGAUCUUCGGACCUCACGCUAUCAGAUGAGCCUAGGUCGGAUUAGCUAGUUGGUGGGGUAAAGGCCUACCAAGGCGACGAUCCGUAACUGGUCUGAGAGGAUGAUCAGUCACAGUGGAACUGAGACACGGCCCAGGAUCCGAGGGGAGGCCGCGGUGGGGAAUAGUGGACACAGGGCGAAAGACUGAACCAGGCAUGCCGCGUGUGUGCAGAAGGGCUGCGGAUUGGAAAGCGGUUUAAGGUGGGAGGAAGGGCAGUAAGUUAAUACCUGGCUGUUUUGACGUAACCAACAGAAUAAGCACCGGCUAACUUCGU
rnacentral:rRNA from 1 species